UACCAGCACCCCGAGUGGUCGGGACGAUUAUUGGGCCUAAAGCAUCCGUAGCCGGUUCUACAAGUCUUCCGUUAAAUCCACCUGCUUAACAGAUGGGCUGCGGAGGAUACUAUAGAGCUAGGAGGCGGGAGAGGCAAGCGGUACUUAGUGGGUAGGGGUAAAAUCCGUUGAUCCAUUGAAGACCACCAGUGGCGAAGGCGGCUCACUGGUCCGGUACUGACGCUGAGGUGCGAAAGCGUGGGGAGCAAACAGG
rnacentral:rRNA from 1 species